rnacentral:rRNA from 1 species
AGUGAACGCUGGCGGUAGGCCUAACACAUGCAAGUCGAACGGCAGCACAGUAAGAGCUUGCUCUUACGGGUGGCGAGUGGCGGACGGGUGAGGAAUACAUCGGAACCUACUUUUUCGUGGGGGAUAACGUAGGGAAACUUACGCUAAUACCGCAUACGACCUACGGGUGAAAGCAGGGGAUCUUCGGACCUUGCGCGAUUGAAUGAGCCGAUGUCGGAUUAGCUAGUUGGCGGGGUAAAGGCCCACCAAGGCGACGAUCCGUAGCUGGUCUGAGAGGAUGAUCAGCCACACUGGAACUGAGACACGGUCCAGACUCCUACGGGAGGCAGCAGUGGGGAAUAUUGGACAAUGGGCGCAAGCCUGAUCCAGCCAUACCGCGUGGGUGAAGAAGGCCUUCGGGUUGUAAAGCCCUUUUGUUGGGAAAGAAAAGCAGCAGGUUAAUACCCCGCUGUUCUGACGGUACCCAAACAAUAAGCACCGGCUAACUUCGUG